CUCAUGUAACAUUUCAGCUGAGAGCUUCUACAAUCAAUCUGGCCACCCUAGUCUGGAAGGAAGCAGCCAUCAAGUAAUUAAUACUUGCAAAAGGAGCGAUUGGAGCAGGAAGCAGCCAGGCAGAAUCCCAAAUGCAGCCCAGCAACUGAAUCUAACACAGAGCAUCUUUACACGACCUGGACACAGUCUGAAAAAGUUGUAAAUGAUUCUGUUUUUCGUUCCCGAGCCCGGCCGAUAAUAGAGAAACGUGACAGGUUAAUUUUUCCUGAAAAGUGAUGAAAACACAGCCCCUGCGCUGGGGCUGUGUUAAUUGUGCUGCAAAGGCAUUUGCCACUCGGGUUCCUUUUGUCAUUGUUGUUGUUGUUGUUGCUGUUGUUUUUUUCUUCCAGGGCUGCCGAUCGCAGCAUUUUCAGCCAAGUCCAGUUGAUCUUGUGGGAAAUUAAGCUGCGGUGCUUUGGUGAACAGGUUGACCCUCUCUUCUCUGUGACAGCCCUCAAAUAUUGGAAGACGGCUCUUAUAUCACUCCUAGCUUUCGUUAGACUAAAAAGUCUGCCAUCAGCCCGUGGAGGUAGCAGUGGAGUUGGACAGUGAGGAGGCUGGGGAGGACCAUGGGUCAGUCAUGGAUUCUGGGGAAGGCCCAGACGAGGGCUCUGCAUCAGAGGCAGAGAUGAGGCCAGGGCCAUCUGGGAGCGAUGUGCGGACUCCGGAGCCUCCAGAGGCAGACAGCAGAGAGGCAGAGGAACAGGAGGAGCCUGUUCCUAGUGCACGCAUGUGAAGAGCUGCCAGAAGGCAAAGCAGCUAAAGCAAAAAGGACGACUCAGGAGUAAGGCCAGGAGAUGAUUGGCCACUCCCAUAAGGCUUAAAAGAACAGCAACAGCUCUUGGGCUCUUUGUAAGAAAGCAACAUUGCCACAUUUGUUUCUAGCUGGCGUCUCUUGUUUCUGAACUUCAUGGGGCUUUGCCAAGAAAACCCUUUGGCAGGGUGCCAAAGAGGACAAAGGUUUGUGAUAAGGCCGAAGGACUUUUUC